rnacentral:RNase_P_RNA from 1 species
GUCAGCCGGUGGGCGGGCGUCGGGCCAGCUCCGGCAACGGGCUAGCCUGAGGAACCCCCUCCACUGACCGUGGUCCCACGACCGCUGCGAAGCGGUCUGGCGGAAGCCAGGGCUCCGGCUCAGAGACGGUACCUCCCUCAGCUCGAUGAACAUGAUACUGCCCUUAUUAGGGCCGUUGAAGAGGUUGAGGGUGAGGUUGAAACGGCCGUCCCGUGGGCUUAGGGCCAAAUAGGAGCCUAUGAGGGGCCACGCCGAGGCUCGGGUGGGCCCUUAGAUGAAUCCCGCUAGAACAAAAGGAGGGGUAUGGCCGGCUGAC